GACGAACGCUGGCGGCGUGCCUAAUACAUGCAAGUAGAACGCUGAAGGAGGAGCUUUCUUCUCUGGAUGAGUUGCGAACGGGUGAGUAACGCGUAGGUAACCUGCCUUGUAGCGGGGGAUAACUAUUGGAAACUAUAGCUAAUACCGCAUAAUAGCAGUUGUUGCAUGACAACUGUUUGAAAGUUGCAAUUGCACCACUACCAGAUGGACCUGCGUUGUUUUAGCGAGUUGGUGGGGUAGCGGCUCACCAAGGCGACGAUACAUAGACGACCGGCGAGGGUGAUCGGCCGGACUGGGACUGAGACAGGGCACAGACUCACUGAGGUGGGGGCAAGAGGGAAUCGUCGGCAAGGGGCGGAAGACUGAGCGCGAAAGGCGGAGGGAGGAAAGAGGGACGUCGGAUCGGAGAGCUCUGUUGUAAGGGAAGAAAGAGUGUGAGAGUGGAAAGUUGACAGUGUGACGGUAACUGAUAAGAAAGGAACGGCUAACUACGUG
rnacentral:rRNA from 1 species